AUUAUCUUAGUAUAAAUAGUACAAUUAUUUUCCACAUAAUAAGAUUAAGUAGUAUUAAAGAUAAUA
rnacentral:tRNA from 1 species